UGGGAUCAUGUGAGAACACAUCCCUUAUGUGAGAACUCUAAUAUAUAUGAGAACAAAUCUAGCCAUUGAUCAAAUUAAAUCUAACCAUCAAAAAAAAAAUAAUAAUGACAUUUUCGUAAUUUCUUGAAUUACACCUCCAUUCUCUUUGCUAUUCUUCUUGGCUUUCACGUUCAACAUCUCUUUCUCCUCAAAAUUUCAAACCUCUUGUAUUUCUCUCUCCUCAAAUCCCAAAAUCGAACACAAAAUUGUUGCAAAUUGAAGAAUUUUUGUUCAAAUUUCACAUAAAACAACCUAAAUUGCUCAAAUCAGGUUUAUGGAAAUGCUGAAAAAGCUCGAGAUAUCCUUGUUGGAGCUACAUUUGGAGAUGUUCCUGUGAUAUCAUGUCCAAUUGUCAAAGCCACUUUUGGAGGCAUUAAUACAUUUGGAAUCUAUCUAGUCGCUCCCAAAACAAAUUGAUUAUAUGGAUUCUUUGGUUGAUAAGUACCUGGCUCCAACGCUUGAUAGUUCUGAUGCUGCCAGUAUACUUGAAAGAAAAGAAUUAUCAAGCAUAUAUAUGGAGGUUUGCAAGCUGUUGUUAGUUUUGUGCUUGAACAUGAACUAUCUGCAGAACCAUUUUCUUUGGUGGCUGAGGAGUUAACAUAUUGGUGGUCGAUCCUUAAUGGUUACACUUCUCUGUUUAAUUUGGUGAAAUCGAAGAUGCAUACAAAGUAUACGGAAUUAGGGAGUAAUAUUCUUUGCACUCCUAGAAGUGGCUUGCUAGAUGGUAACAGGAGAAGGACAAGCAACAAUAUUACGGAAGUUGUACCUGAAAGCUAUACGUAGACCACAUAUCGAUGCUUGCUGUGAUGUUGUCACUGCCAUGCUAUAUGGUGCUGCUAUUAAUUAAUCUGUUGAUGCUCCUAUCCCAGUGUCCCUUAUGUAUGCCUUGUUGGAUAAUUUGUCUCCUUGUGAUGUCUGUAGAUUACAUAUGUUACCAUUGGAAAGGACAUAUAUCUGUUACAAAUGAGCAACUAACUAUUUGCUUAUUUGUUAAAUGAGCAAAAAUUCGAUUGCUCAUUUCCUAACUGAUCAAAGAAAUAUUUGCUUAUUUUACAGAUGAGUAACU